CGUGAUCUCCCCAUGUGGGCCAUUCACAGCGCCAAUUGACUCCGCCCGCGGAGAGGAGGAGGAGGAGGGUUG